rnacentral:rRNA from 1 species
UUUUUAUAGAAAUCMUUAUAAAUAUAACCUGCUCAAUGCUUAAUGUAAAUUGCCGCAGAAAUUUUAACUGUGCUAAGGUAGCAUAAUCAUUAUCCUUUUAAUUAAAGGCUAGAAUGAAUGGUUUAACAUUUAAAUAUCUUUUUUUUAUUAAUUUAUUAAAAUUAUAUUAAUAAUAAAAAUAUUAUUUUAUAAAAAAAAGACGACAAGACCCUAUCAAACUUUACUUUAGUUUAGCUGGGGCAGCUAAUUAAUAUAAAUUUUAAUUACAUUAUUUUUAAAAAUGAGCUAUUUUAAAUAAUUAUUUGACCAAGUUACUGUAGGGAUAACAGCAUAAUAUUUUUUAAAAGUUCAUAUUAAAAAAAAAAAUUAUGACCUCGAUGUUGAAUUAAUUUUUAUAUAAGGAGCAAAAACUUUAUAAUUAGGUCUGUUCRACCUUUAAAUUAU